ACGAACGCUGGCGGCAUGCCUAACACAUGCAAGUCGAACGAACCCUUCGGGGUUAGUGGCGCACGGGUGCGUAACGCGUGGGAAUCUGCCCAAAGGUUCGGAAUAACACAGAGAAAUUUGUGCUAAUACCGGAUAAUGUCUUCGGACCAAAGAUUUAUUGCCUUUGGAUGAGCCCGCGUUGGAUUAGCUUGUUGGUGAGGUAACGGCUCACCAAGGCGACGAUCUAUAGCUGGUCUGAGAGGAUGAUCAGCCACACUGGGACUGAGACACGGCCCAGACUCCUACGGGAGGCAGCAGUGGGGAAUAUUGGACAAUGGGCGAAAGCCUGAUCCAGCAAUGCCGCGUGAGUGAUGAAGGCCUUAGGGUUGUAAAGCUCUUUUACCAGGGAUGAUAAUGACAGUACCUGGAGAAUAAGCUCCGGCUAACUCCGU
rnacentral:rRNA from 1 species